rnacentral:rRNA from 1 species
GAGUUUGAUCUUGGCUCAGAUUGAACGCUGGCGGCAUGCCUUACGCAUGCAAGUCGAACGGCAGCAUGAUCUAGCUUGCUAGAUUGAUGGCGAGUGGCGAACGGGUGAGUAAUACAUCGGAACGUGCCCUGUAGUGGGGGAUAACUAGUCGAAAGAUUAGCUAAUACCGCAUACGACCUGAGGGUGAAAGUGGGGGACCGCAAGGCCUCAUGCUAUAGGAGCGGCCGAUGUCUGAUUAGCUAGUUGGUGGGGUAAAGGCCCACCAAGGCGACGAUCAGUAGCUGGUCUGAGAGGACGAUCAGCCACACUGGGACUGAGACACGGCCCAGACUCCUACGGGAGGCAGCAGUGGGGAAUUUUGGACAAUGGGCGAAAGCCUGAUCCAGCAAUGCCGCGUGUGUGAAGAAGGCC